CCGGCCCGGCCCAAGCCGCGGGGCGAGGAGAAGACGGGCGCCCCCCCGACGCCUCCCUCGCCCCGCCGCCCAGAGGGGCCAGCCAGGUGCCCCGGGGAAGCUGGACCGGAGCGCGACAGCAACACCUGUGCUUCCCAGGUACGCCGGAGGCAAAAUAUAACCCCCCCGUCCAGUAGCCACUGGCUAGUAGCCCUUCUCCUCCUCCUCCGUGGAUUUUUAAAGCUAGUGGCCAUGGCUACAACCUGCUCCUGGUUCCAUCGUUUAACGAUAUGCCACCUGGAUUUCCUCUCCCCGUCCUGUGUUUUCCAACCUUCAACUAACUACAUUGGGUCCCAGUGUUAUGAGAGAGGAAGAAAAAGUCAUUUGUCUGUUUUCUGUACACCGUGCAUAAUUGUAUAUACAGUGGUACCUCGGUUUACGAACUUAAUCCGUUCCGGAAAUCCAUUCUUAAACCAAAGCCGUUCUUAAACCAAGGUGCACUUUCCCUAAUGAGGCCUCCCGCUGCUAGUGCCCUUCCACUGUUCAGAUUCUGUUCAUAAACCGAGGUAAAGUUCGCAAACCAGGACACUGCUUUCAGUUUUGCGGAGUUCAUAAACCGAAUAGUUCUUAAACAGGGCUGUUCUUAAACCGAGGUACCACUGUACCUCUGUCAUGUCCCCUCUCCCUUGCCUUUUCUCUGAAGCCCCAAAUGCCACAAGCCUUUCAAAUGAGGGAGUUGCUCCCUCCCCUUGAUCAUUUUGGUUGCCUUAUUCUGAACCAUUUUCCAGAUCUGCAAUGACCAGAAGUGGACACAGUAUUCCCAGUGUGGCUGCAACAUACUGUAGAUUUGUAUAAAACCAUUCUGAUCAUGCCAGCGUUAUUUUAAUCGUAAAGAUCCCUAGCAUGGAGUUUACUUUUUCACAGCUGUCACCCUCUGAGUCAACAUUUUAAUGCAGCCUUCAACCACAAUACCAGUAUAUCUUUCCUGGCCGUCUCAGAUCCCAUCAAGUGUGUAUGGGAAGUUAAGAGUCGCUUUAUUGCUUGCUUACAUUGAAUCACAUUUGCUAUGGUAGUAUCCAAUAAUCUGGUCUGGAGAGAUCCUUUUGGAGCAACUUGCAAACCUGUUUUGCUUUGACCACCCUAAACAAUUUGGUAGCAACAGCAAACGUGGCUACUUCACUGCUCAUUCCUCAUGGGCGUAGCGGGGGGGACAGCUGCUGACCAAUAACUGACCAAUCACAUUGCAGAUAGCUCAGAUCUGCCCUCACUAACAUAAAACCUACCCCCCCAACAUAAAUCCUGGCUAUGCCCAUGUCACCCCUAACUCCAAGUCACUUAAAGGUAAAGGGAACCCUGACCAUUAGGUCCAGUCGUGACCGACUCUGGGGUUGCGCGCUCAUCUCGCUCUAUAGGCCGAAGGAGCCGGGGUUUGUCCGCAGACAGCUUCCGGGUCAUGUGGCCAGCAUGACCAAGCCGCUUCUGGCGAACCAGAGCAGCACACGGAAACACCGUUUACCUUCCCGCAGGAGUGGUCCCUAUUUAUCUACUUGCACUUUGACAUGCUUUCAAACUGCCAGGUUGGCAGGAGCAGGAACCGAGCAACGGGAGCUCACCCCGUCCCGGGGAUUUGAACCGCCGACCUUCUGAUCGGCAAGUCCUAGGCUCUGUGGUUUAACCCACAGCGCCACCUGCUUCCCUAGUCACUUAGUCCAAGUCACUUAGACUAAGACUAGUCCAAGUCACUUAGGAACCAGUAAAAAAUCACCAGCCCCAAUACAACUCAUUGGAGAACCCCAUUUUUGAAAAUGUAAGUAGCUUGUAUUGGCUUGAAAAAGGGGUUCUGUCUCCCCUCUCUUUUAUGACACAUUGAUAUCGGAAAGCCUGGUGGAGUUGGGGUGUGUGUGUGUGUGUGUGAAACAGACAUUACUUUUUUAAGGUAAAAAUUGAAGUGCCAGUACUCUUACUUGAUGCAAGCAUAGAAGGUGCCAGCACAAAAUGGCUGCUAUGAGCAGCAAAAGAAAGAGGUGUUAGUACUAUGCUCCAGCAUGAGUUGCUGUUGUUGGCAUCGGUCUGUCUUGAGAGACAAGGGAGGAGUGCACUCUUGGGGGUGAAGUCAAGCUCUGGAGAAUUGCAGCGCCUGCUGUGGCUGUGGAGACCAAUAUGGGAGACACAUGUUUUAUUGCAGCUGGGGCAGAUGAAGGCAUCCAGUGACAUUGGGGACAUGGAAAGGAACAGUGGUGCAGGGGGCCACUAGGGGGCGCAUUGGAAGAUGGCCGACAAUACCAUCUCUCCGACCCACACGGGGUAAUUAAGAGGCUGUUAUGGGAGUAGGCAGCCUCCCUUGUUGCCCCAAGGAAAUGGGGAACACUGCCCUUGCCUGCUGUGCCCAUAAAUUCGAAAGAAGGGGGUGAGGGCCCUAGGCAGAAUGCCCCCGUGUGGACCUCGGCUCUCCUGGACGCUGUCUCUGAUCGCGCACUAGCUGCAGCAAUUUGGAAUAAUUAAUUACAAAAGAAGCAAAUGCACAUAUUUCAAGUGAAGAAGGGGAGUGAAGUCUGCUAAUUUAAGUGACCUCUGCGAAAGAAGACGACGGGCUGGAGAAACAGGAAUAUUUUACGAUGAAGAUACACCAAAGGCGGGGUAUGUUGACAACGGGGCUGAAUGGGGGGGAACCUUUUUUUACUUUCCUUCUAUGUGAUUUACAAGAACCCCUCCUCAUUAGAACCGUCGGUUGAACUGACCCAAGCAGGAUGAUUAAGGUCUGUGUGGAGAUAAACUUUAACCAAAAGUAUGCUUUAUGGAGACCGAGAAGCAAUAAGAGCUUUUGGGAAUGGCGCAGCAAUUAAUUCGGAGUUGCCAUCUUGCCAAAGGAUUUAUAGCCGGGAGGAAGAACGGACUUGUUUUCAGACUGCAUUCCUAGUGAAUCUCCUCAGAGGUUUUGAGAAGGGAGGCAGAUUGGUGAAGAUUAAUGACGCUAAGACUGUUUUGAUGUAUAGAAGUGAUAUUAUAUGGAAAACGUCUGGAUAUGGCUACUGGAUAAAAAUAAUAAUAUCCACGCAGGAUUACAAACUGUUCUAACCAGCUUGCGGAGACUAUCAGAGGUCACAAAGAGAAAGGAAAAAUAUAUGAAAAUAACAACAAGAGAUGUGGAAAAAUAAUAAGAAAGGACUGGAUAGUACUGUGAACAUCAUAAGGUUAGAUUUGUGGACAUUAAAACGGCAGUAAGAAGCAAGAAGUUGAUUGGAUCCCUUCGGAACUUGAAAUAUGGGUACCCCCAACAAAAAUUUAAAAUUCGGCUGUGUAAUUUGGAAUUUAGGUAAUUUGGUUUGAUUUGAUGUGAUUGGUCGGUUAAUAAAAAAUUAUUCUUUGGAAAGGAACAGUGGUGCAGCUUGGCGGCUCCAUGCAAAUACUGAGGUAACAAACACUUAGAUUGACACCCAGACUCAGAAAGCCAGUUGCUGUUUUAGAGGGUGCCUUUGGGUAAAAGGCCUUUGGGUAAGAGUCCCACUGUCAUUGAUAACUAGGAGUAAAUGUGCAGACAUAUACAUGUGCACACACUCGCACAUGGCCAGACACUAAUAAAUGCUGCCUCGCCUCCUGUCUACGUUGUUUAAGCGCAAGCAAUUAUUGCCAAGCCAUGGUAUUUUGGAGCUGCUCCUGGAUAGCAGGAUGAUGGGACAGAUUUCCUUGGCAGGUGGUGAGCUUUCCUUUGCUGGAGAUACUCAAGCAGAGGCGAUCUGACAGGGGUUGGAAAGGUUUACCUCGCCUGGGCCAGUUCACUCCAGCAGAGAUCCCUCUGUGGGCCAGAUUGAGCAUGCACAUGAGCGCUCACGCCUGCGAUUUCCAGCAUCUGCGCAGAUGCAAUUUCUGGUGUUUGCGCAGACAUGAUUUUCAGCAUCUGCGCAUGCACAGAUGCGAUUUCCAGCACCGAGGUAGUGAGUCCCCACACCGCGCUGUGCUGGUUAAGCGCAUUGCACAGGGACUCACCAAGCGGGCGGCUCUGUUCGGGGGCAGCUCGUGGGCCGGUUAAAUGGCCCCCGUGGGCCGCUUGUGGCCCAUGGACCUUAGGUUGCCUACCCCUGGGUAAGAGAGCUAUCUGUUAGAGAUGCUGUGGUUGUAUCCUGCAUUGUAGAUCUUGUUCUUAGCAAAGAGUUGGGGUAGAUGACCUCCAGCGUGCCACUCAUCCCUGUGGUUUUAUGAGAGCAAGCAGGUGAUCCUGCUAUUAGGGAUUUCUUUGAUUUUACAUAGAAUGCAGCCUUAUCUUAUCUUACCUUUGUUCUCCCGUUGUUUACUCUUUAAAGUUGCCCAGUCUCCUGAGAUGGCAGACACCCAGAGGACCUUCUCUGGUCACCUGCAAGGGACUGAUUCUGCAUGGGAGCAAGCUAAUCUGUGGUCUUUUUUAGUUGUGGUAUUCAGCAUCGUUCGUCUCCCCCCCCCCCGCCCCGGCUUCCCUAAAUGGCCUGAGGCCAGCGAGGCAACUCAACGCACACCCUUUCCCGAGGAAGCUUGGAGGUCAUCUUGACUUACGACAUUGUACUCCCCAAGUGGCACGCCAGUGGAAAUUAGGUUGACGGCUAUGGAGAGAGUUUUCUCUCUGUGGGGGGAAGUAUCCUCUCCCCACAGAAGCUUGCCUGACAUGCUUUGAGCUGCAUAUACACCAUACAUUUAAAGCACAUUUUCCUCCACCCCCAUAAAAAAAGAAUCCCAGGAAUUGUAGUUUGUUAAGCAUGCUGGGAACUGUAGCUCUGGGAGGGUCAAACUGCAGUCCCUGGGAUUCUUUUAUUGGGUGGGGAAUGUGCUUUAAAUGUAUUCAGGGUAAGCUAGUUUCAGUGAAAUUUUAUUGCUGAUUCAAAUCAACAAUAGAAGCCACUGCAGUACCUUGUCAUGGACUGAAAAGCAAAGAGACAUUUAAAAAUGGAAAGCGUAAUGCUGGUGGUCAACAAAAGAGGUUUAAAGACUGUCUCAAGGCAAAUCUUUAAAAAAGUAGAAUAAACACCAACAAUUGGGAAACACUUGCCUGCGAGUGCUCCAAUUGGGGAACAGCCUUUACCAAAGGUGUCAUGGGCUUUGAAGACACUCGAACUCAGAACACAAGGGAGAAAUGUGCUAAGAGGAAGGCACCGUGAUCAACUUCUUCCCGGAAACCAAUGUCCCCAAUGUGAAAGGAUGUGUGAAUCCAGAAUUGGCCUCCAAAGUCACUUACAGACUCAUUGUUAAAACCGUGUUUAUGGAAGACAAUCUUACUUGGCUACGAGUGAUCGCAGAAGAAGAAGAAGAAGAAGGAGGAGGAGGAGGAGGAGGAAGAAAGAAGAAGAAGGAGGAGGAGGAGGAGGAGGAAGAAGAAGAAGAAGAAGAAGAAGAAGAAGAAGAAGAAGAAGAAGAAGAAGAAGAAGAAGAAGAAGGAGGAGGAGGAGGUAUGAAUGCCACAGUCCUUGUGGAUAAGGCUUCCAGGGUUGUUUCCCCUGCCAGCCUUCUAUCACACCCCCAGUCUCACUUUCAACAUGCCCCCCCCCCAUGCAGAGCCUCCCACAGUGCAGGCAGCUAUAUAGUGGCGCAGCAUGUUGGGGGCACAGUACUUUCAUUAGGCCAGCCAAAAGGCCUCAGAGUAGCAAGCCAAGCUUUCAAGUUCCCUAGGACACUUCAUCAGGCUGGAUGUUAAACAAAGCAGAGAGGACAGAAGUUGACUGAUGGUGAAGCCAUGGAUGGAGUCACAGUCUUAAGAUGGAAUGCAGGAGAAAGGAGCAGACUUAUUUUGUUUAGGCUCUACUAAAUGCUAUGCAGGUUUCAGAUUGCAUCUGGCACUGCUAAGAAACCUGAAUUGUUGACCUUUGAAAUACGAAAUCAGGCUGUUGCUAGGAUCUGUCUCCACUUUUUGGUGAAAGACACAACUUCCUUGGUAGCUGGAAAAAUUUACACACACACACACACACACAGUCAAUUGGUCAAUUCAGCUUCCAUUGUUUUCCCCUUUCGUGUUAGGGCUUGCCAGCACUGGAGCUAAAUGUGGAUUCCUCCUGGCCUGUCUUCCCUUUGAUGCACAUUUUGUCACCCUAGGUGCAUCCCAGUGUUGUCCCGGACCUUUCCCUGGGAAAACUAUGGGGCUUCUGGAGGCAUGGAUUCAUGGAAAGUGUGAAUCAGAAAAACCCUGCAUUUAAAGGGCUCACCUGUUGUUUAAUGUAGAUAAUAAGCUUCCUGUGUUUCCAUUAAUUCUCUGUUGUCCAUAUGAUGUUCUCCUCCACAUCAUGGCCUUCCCCACUCCUCUCCUUGUUGGAAAAAGUGGGAAAUGUCCUAGCCAACAUCGGGAUAGGCACAGUUUGUUCUGGUGUGGAUAAAACCUUUGUGUUUCCCACCAAAAACAACCAGGAGCCUUGUAACACUUUAAAGACGAAGGGCCUGUCCAUACCUUAUCUUAAUAUGGAUUGUGAACCCCUAUGCUUCCUUUAAUUCCCUCUUGUCCAUGUGGCGUUCUCUUGCAAAAGAUUUUGCAGUCAAACUCAACAAUGCAUGUCUAUGCUCGUUAGGAAAUGAAGGAGUACAGAGCUGUAAAUUGCUAGAGAAAGCAUGGCUCAGUCAUACACCCUCACCUUCAGGGAGGGAGGAAGUAAGUAAGGCCCUUUUCCCAUUCUUUUCUCUCUCUCUCUUCUCUUUGAAUCAUCUAACAGAACAGACAUUUGAAGCUGGGGCUCCAGACUCAUACUAUGUAUUUGAGACUAACUUUUGUAUUUUGUAACUAAGAAUACCUUACCUGUGUUGUUUCUGCUGCAGCACUGAACGAUGCAUGAGUGAGACCUCUAAUUACUGUAAGUAAGGCAUUUAAACUUACUUGAGGGUUGUAGUCUAUUCACUGUGAGAGGGAUAGACAUGGGGGAGCACAAUCGUGAGCACUUAAUAAUGGAACAUUUAAAAGUCUAACAACCUCUAUUUCCUAUGCUUUGCAAACGCUGCACAUAUUCUUGCAUUGCAGGGGUUUGGACUAGAUGUCCCUUAUCGUUCCUUCCAAAUGUAUAAUUCUAUGAUUCUCUUAUUUCUGUUUUAAACUUUGCUGGAGGUUCUUUUGACUGGAGAGUGAGUCAAGAUUUUUUAAUUCAGCCAGUCGCCUUUUCUUUCUUUCUUUCUUUCUUUCUUUCUUUCUUUCUUUCUUUCUUUUUGCAGUGUCCCACACACGUGGGACUUCAGGAUUAACUGGUAUCGCCCAGUUAUUUCCCAGCACCUCUAACUACCGCUAUCCCACAUUUCUUUCUCCCAAAAUCUGGAGAUUCCUAAUGCAUUUGGUAUAUCUCUCUAAUUCAGAUUUUCAAGGUGUAGGGAAUAUCCCGAUUUAGGAAAGAGAAAGUGUGGGAGAGUGGUGGUUGGUGGAUGAGGGGGGUUUAAACGAGGCACCAAGGGAUUUACAAUCCACAUUAAGCCAAGGUAGGGACAGGCCCUAAAAGAUUUAUCAACUUUCAUGCAUCAGAUGAAGCAUACUGCAGAAAGUCAAUGCCGUGAUAAACCUGUUCGUCUUUAAGGUGACUCAAAACUUUGUUGCAUUUACUUUGCAUGCGUGAGAAGAUCCUGAGAGUUUCGGUUCCAGUCUUGCACCUGUCCCUGCUUAUCUAUGGUCGUGAAGCAGAAGAUUGGUCCGCCAGGGUUCCACAUUCAAACACAUACAUCACACCUCCCCCCCUGCCCCCGCCGAAUGAAACACCACCAAGGAUCAGUUUCACUGAGACCAACGUACUGCACAGCAGAAGUUGUUUACUAUGCAAUUACCCUCUUUAGCAAAACUUUCCACUUCUGGAGCCGAAAUGGAAAGUGCCAUCGAGGGAACGUGAACAGGGAGGAAGACAUUUACUUCUCUUCCUAAAACCGUGGAGGCAGUUUCCCACAGCAACCCACUGGGAACUCAGUCACAGCCAGGCACACAUAUCGGGGGCCCAGUGCCCAGGCUUGUUACAGAUGCAAAGGUCAGAGUAGGGCAGCUCUCACUGGAUUUGUGAGGGUUUUCUGAGUACAGAUGCAAAAUCAGGCAAGGUGAGAUCUUCUGCUUGAGCAGCUGGUGUUCGAAAGCCAUACAACAGACAACAUACAAAACAAUCUGGCUAAUUUUACCCAACAAAGGUUUUUUUAAAAAAGGUAAAGGACCCCUGGACCGUUAAGUCCAGUCAAAGGCGAAUAUUGGGGUGGGGCGCUCAUCUCGCUUUCAGGCCGAGGGAGCUGGCGUUUGUCCACGGACAGCUUUCCAGGUCAUGUGGCCAGCAUGAGUAAACUUCUUCUGGCGCAAUGGAACACCGUGGCGGAAGCCAGAGCACACGGAAACACAUUUUAUCUUCCCGCUGCAGCGGUACCUCUUUAUCUACUUGCACUGGUGUGCUUUCGAACUGCUAGGUAGGCAGGAGCUGGGACAGAGCAACAGGAGCUCACCCCGUUGCGGGGAUUCGAACUGGCGUCCUUCCGAUCGGCCAGCCCAAGAGGCUCAGUGGUUUAGACCACAGUGCCCCUCACACAUGCAAACAAAUCUAACUUCUGCCAAUUAAACACAACCAUGCCCUGCCCGCCCCCCAAGCUCCCUCACUACCAAGGAAAUAUAAUAAAACAAACAGAAAGACAACCUACCCAAAUGACGCUGACAUAAAAAACCCACAUACUGUACACACUAAGUAUAAAAAUAUAAAUUUACCACUUCCUCCCCCCCCCUUUUCUUCUUAUCCAACUUUAUUCUGUAUACAACACUAAUGUCUCAUAUAUAACUGAUAUAUGGAAAGACUUUACCUGAGAAAAGAGACGAUGCACAUACUUUUGUAAACAAAGAAAAUAUUUAAUAAAAAUUAGUAUACAAAAACGGAAAUGGCACACAGCAUUUCUUCAGACAUAGACAUUGAACAGCAAACAUCAGCAAUGAAAAUUAGGAGACGUCUUAUUUUAAAUUGGGCAUUCUUUCCUGGAGGGACCUAGGGAAAGGUGGAAGGGUGCAUUUGAAUCUCCAGUUCACAUUCAGCAGUGGGGGGGGGGGGAGAGAGAGAGAGAGACUUCUGUCAGGCUGAUUCCCACAGAUACUUGAUUGUGUUUGAUACAGUGCAAAAAUAUUUUCACAGUUUAUUGAGCUUCAUGCCAUACUUUGGGAGACACUUUAACUCGCACAGAUGGAACAUGUCUCAAAUGCUUUGCUCUGUCACAUGAUCUGGCCCUGUCCUGGAGUCACAGUCUUUUGGUCAGAGGUCAUCAGCUGCAUAAAUAUGGUUUUGGACACUUCCUUGACGUUUCCAGAUGUCAAUGUACUAUUGAAUUACGUGCCAGUGCUUUGGAACCUGGCACAGGGACAAUGCAACUGGCUUCUAAGGAUAUCUAAGGUGGUUAAAGCUAUAACGCUUCGAUAUUGGAAGGGAAGGACAGGUCUACCCCACCCCCACUCUUCUUUAAGAUGUGUGCAUUUCUAACUUCAGACUUUUUGUUCAGACCAAUAUUGUUAAGUUGUGGGUGAACAUAUCAGACGACACAGCAAUUCUUCAAACAGCUCUUGUUUAUUCACAGGCCAGAACUGAACUGAACUGAAGGGUUCAGCCAGCCUGCUUAUAUAGAGCUCCAGUACAACGUAACUGUAACAACUUUCUGUAUCUAUCCAAUCACUGAAUGUCUGAACUCCCCGGAAAAAAGGCGGAGAGUCUAUAAUUUACUCAAAAAAGAACAAUUGGACUUGAUUUGUCUGCAAGAAACACAUGUGAUAAGGCUACAUAGGAAGAUAUUGAGUAAUAAAAGAUUGGGCCAAGAAUUUAUUUCAUCAGACAAAGUUAAAAAAAGAGGAGUAGUCCUUUAUGCAAAAGAGAGCCUUUCACCGAAAUUUAUAUUUAAAGAUGACCAAGGAAGAUUUGUUGCAAUUGAAAUUCAAUCACAAGGAGAGAAAUUUUUGAUAGUAGGUAUUUAUGCACCGAAUGAAGGAAAAUCAGAAUUUUUCAAGAAGUUACAUGAGAUCCUGAUGGACUAUAUGGAUUACAAUAUGAUUUUGAUGGGAGAUAUGAAUGGAGUGGUGUCUACAAACAUGGACAAGGCACAGAGACAGAUAGUUACUAAGGAUGGUAGACUACCAAAAACUUUUUUUGAUAUGACUGAAAAUAUGGAUUUAGUUGACAUCUGGAGAACGAAGAACCCCCUGGGAAGAGAGGGAACUUUCUUCUCUGAGGCUAAAAUGACAUGGACAAGAAUUGACCAAAUUUGGGUAACUAGAGGACUGGCUCCGAAGACUAGUAAAGCGGAAAUCUGCCCCAAAACUUGCUCCGACCAUAAUGCUGUGAAGAUGGAAAUGAAACUGACGCCAAUUGGUUCCUUUAGAUGGAGGAUGAAUGAUACUUUGUUUAGGAAUGAAGAAGUGACUAAGAAGGCCCAAAAAACUACUGUGGAAAAAAGAGUAAUUUGGGACGCAAGCAAAGCGGUUAUGAGAGGAUUCCUGAUACAACAGAAUGCAAUUAAGAAGAGAAUUCAAAAUGAGAAAAAAGAUAAAAUCCUGGAAAAAAUAAAGGAAGGAGAGAAGAAACUGAGGGUGAAACCAAAGUCGCAGGAGAUUUUGAAAGAGAUAAAGUUAUAUCAAGUACAAUAUAUGAAAAUGACGAAUCAGGAAAUAGAAUGGAAGAUUAAACAGAUGAGACAAAAGACAUUUGAAUCGGCAAAUAAGUGCGGAAAACUGUUGGCUUGGCAAAUGAAAAAAAGACAAAAACUUAAUACCAUUACGAAUUUGGAAGUGGAAGGAAAGAAUAUACAGAAUCCAGUGGAAAUUAGAAAGUGCUUCCAGAGAUAUUUCAAACAAUUAUAUACACAGGAGACGCAGAAAGAAACAGACAUUGAUAGAUUUUUGAAAACUAAUGGACUUCAAAAAAUCUCUCAGGAAAAUAAGUUAAUGCUGAACUACAAAAUAACGGAGCAGGAAGUAGAAGGGGCCAUUCAGAACAUGCAACUGGGCAAAUCCCCAGGACCGGAUGGAUUGACUUCAAGAUACUACAGAUCUUUGAAAGAAUGGUUAAUACAACCUUUAAAGGAAGUCUGUAAUGAAAUACUGGAAGGGAAAAGGGCACCAGAGUCGUGGAAGGAAGCUUAUAUUAUUACACUUAUACCGAAAACAGAAACUGAAAAGACACAGCUCAAGAACUACCGCCCCAUAUCACUGCUUAAUGUGGAUUAUAAAAUUUUUGCAGAUAUUUCGGCUAAAAGAUUAAAAAAGGUGUUAGCAGAAGAAAUUCAUAAAGAUCAAGCGGGCUUUCUCCCGGGCAGACAUUUGUCUGACAAUACGAGGAACAUAAUUAAUACCUUAGAAAAAUUACAAGUGAAGAUUAAUACUAAAGCAGUUUUGAUAUUUGUGGACGCGGAGAAAGCCUUUGGCAAUAUUUCUUGGAGUUUUAUGAAGAAGAAUUUACAGGGGAUGGGGGUUGGUCAAGGUUUUGGAAAUGGUAUAGGUGCAAUUUAUUCAGAACAAAAGGCUAAAUUAAUUGUGAACAACGUAGUGACGGAAGAAUUUAAGAUUGAGAAAGGAACACGACAAGGUUGCCCAAUCUCUCCAUUGCUUUUUAUUUCGGUCCUGGAGGUCUUGCUAAAUAUAAUUAGAAGGGACCAAUUGGUUAAAGGUAUACAAGUGGGAGCUAAACAGUACAAACUGAAAGCAUUUGCUGAUGAUUUGGUAUUGACUUUACAGGAGCCAGAAUCUAGUACUAAAAGAGUACUGGAAUUGAUUCAAGAAUUUGGUCAGGUAGCAGGCUUUAAGUUGAACAAGAUGAAAACUAAGGUUUUAGAGAAAAAUCUAACUGUGAUUGAGAGAGAUAAGUUUCAGAAGGAGACAGGAUUAACACUGGUUAAGAAAGUGAAAUAUUUAGGGGUUAACAGGACUGCUAAGAACGUGAAUUUAUUUAAGGAUACCUAUGAAAAAUGUUGGACUGAAGUCAAAAAGGACUUAGAAAUAUGGUCAAAUUUGAAGUUAUCACUGUUAGGCCGAAUUGCUGUGAUAAAAAUGAACGUAUUGCCAAGGAUGUUGUUUCUGUUUCAAACAUUGCAAAUUUUGGACAAAAUGGACUGUUUCAAGAAGUGGCAGAGAGAUAUCUCUAGAUUUGUCUGGCAGGGCAAGAAGCCUCGAAUAAAAUUUAAGAUAUUAACUGAUGCUAAAGAAAGAGGUGGAUUUGCCCUGCCAGACCUUAAACUUUAUUAUGAAUCAGCCGCCUUUUGUUGGCUGAGAGAAUGGAUGCUUCUUGAGAACACUGAUGUGUUGGAUUUGGAAGGCUUCAACAAUGUAUUUGGUUGGCAUGCAUAUCUGUGGUAUGACAAGGUUAAAGCACACAAAGCGUUUAGAAAUCAUAUUGUCAGAAAAGCACUGUUUAAUGUCUGGAUAAGAUAUAAGGAUCUGCUAGAAAAGAAAACCCCAAGAUGGCUGUCACCAAUGGAAGCAAAGACUCAGAAAAAACUCAAUAUGGAGGCCAAAUGGCCGAAGUAUUGGGAAAUUUUGGAACAAGAGGGAGACAGAUUAAAACUGCAGAGUUUUGAAAAAUUAAAAAACAGAGUGCGAGACUGGCUCCAUUAUUAUCAAAUAAUGGAGGCAUAUAAUUUGGACAAAAAACUAGGCUUCCAGGUGGAAAAAUCAAAAUUGGAAACAGAAUUGUUAGAUCCCAAAGUUAAGAAUCUGUCAAGAAUGUAUAACUUGCUGUUGAAAUGGAAUACUCAGGAUGAAACGGUGAAAUCUGCUAUGAUUAAAUGGGCACAAGAUGUUGGACAUAACAUUAUGAUGGCUGACUGGGAACAGUUAUGGACCACAGGUAUGAAGUUUACGGCAUGUAAUGCCUUAAAAGAGAAUCUAAUGAAAAUGAUUUACAGGUGGUACAUAACACCAGUCAAGCUUGCAAAAAUCUACCAUUUGCCCGAUAAUAAAUGCUGGAAAUGUAAUGAGACUGAAGCUACAUUCUUUCACCUUUGAUGGACAUGCCCAAGGAUUAAGAAUUUCUGGGAGAUGAUUUAUAAUGAAAUGAAAAAGGUAUUUAAAUAUACCUUUCUGAAGAAACCAGAGGCCUUUCUCCUGGGCAUGGUCGGCCAAUUGGUGCCAAAGAAGGAUAGAAUUUUCUUUAUGUAUGCUACAACAGCAGCAAGAAUACUUAUCGCAAAGCAUUGGAAGACACAAGAUCUACCCACUUUGGAAGAAUGGCAGAUGAAGCUGAUGGACUACAUGGAAUUGGCGGAAAUGACUGGCAGAAUCCGAGACCAGGGAGAAGAGUCGGUGGAAGAAGAUUGGAAAAAAUUUAAAGUAUAUUUACAGAAAUAUUGCAAAAUUAAUGAAUGUUAGAAGGAUGCUGGAAUGAAACUAUAUGGCUUUAGCAGAAAUGUUAUAAAGAAUUAAGUAAAAAUAGAUUGUUAAUGGGCCAAAGUGGAAAAUUUAAGGUUAGAUUGUGUUAAGAUAAAUUAUAGAACAAAAAUUGAGAAAGAUGGAAAGGAUUUGCUGAAAUAGCUAAUUGAACUAGAAUACAAAAAAGGGAGGUGUGAGGAGGUCGAUGAAACAAGUAAAUGAAAGGUAAAGACACGGAAAUAUUAGAUGUGUUUUUAAAUGUCUUUGUUUUGUUGUUGUUGUUUGGUUGUAUUGUUUUUUGUUUUUAUUUUUGAUGUAUUGUAAGGUAUUGUUCUGUUUUGUUCAACUUUUUAUUGUUUCUUUCUUUUUUUUUCUGUAACUUUCAAACCUCUAAUAAAUAUCAUUUUUUAAAAAAAAAUCACUGAACGUCACUUUCAAUCCCUUAUUUGCAUAUGUGGACCUGUGUGAAAACUAUCUACAGUAUCCCCCUGCUGGCCCAAGGUGAGAACUUCAGUGCAUAACAAAUAUCACUCUUCCACUCAUCCAGAACACUGUGGCUUGUGUGUGUCUGUGUGUAUGUAUGAGAGAGACACAAACAGAGAUGGACAGACAGACAGAGUUGGUCCAUCAACCUCAUCUACAGAAAACAGAACUCUGGCUUUCUCUGGGAAUGUUUGCAAAUUGAAAAAAAUGAAGAAAUCUGAGAUUGGUUUUUGUUUUUUUAAUUGGUUCCAAUAUUAUCAGAUUAAUGACUACUUUUAAAAUGAUUUAUUCAAAGGUUUCAUGGAUUGAAGUUAUGACUUUUAAAAGAUUCUGCUUGAAGGAAGAGAAAAAUUCAUUUCAAAAAUGUAUAAAUUGUUAUUAGAAUGGGAGGCAAAAAGAUGAAAUGGUUAAAUCAGUAAUGAUGCAACGGGCUAAGGAUCUAGGACAGACCUUUCCAAAUUGUGUGUUAUGACACAUUAGUGUGUCGGAAAAGUGUGUCACCCACAUGAAAAGUUUGGAAAGCUCUGAUCUAGGCCAUAACAUAGAAACAAAUGUGUAGUAAAGGCUGUGGAAAACAGAUAGGAAAUUUAUGAAAAUUAUAUGAAAAUGAUGUAUAGAUGGUGUUUAACACCUAACAAAUUGUCUAAAAUGUAUAAGAAGGUUCCUAAUAACUGCUGGAAGUGUAAACAAGUAGAUGGAUCUUUUUUUCAUAUAUGGUGGACCUGCAAGAAAGCAAGGGUAUUUUGGGAUAUGAUAUAUAAUGAGAUAAAAAAGAUGUUUAAAGUGAUUACACACCAAAAAAACCACACACCCCGAAGCUUUUCUUUUAGGGAUUGUAGGGACAGAAAUUCCAAGAAAGAUGAUUAAGCUGCUUAUACAGGAUUUUAUAGGAUUACAUAGCUAACAGCUAGGAUGCUCUAUGCACAAAAAUGGAAAGAAGUAGUAGUUACCACCAAAUAAGAAUGGAUAAGUAAAGCAUUGGACUAUGCAGAAUUGGCAAAGCCCCAGAGGCGUAGGAAGGUCAGGUGGUACCCGGUGCGGAAAAUUUCUUGUCACAUCCCCCCCCCACAUUGAUAUUUAUUUAUUUAUUUUGCCUACAAAAAUGGUUAACGUUAUUUCAUAUUUGCUUACAAAGGAAUGUGGAUUCUGAGCCUCUGACAACAAGUAGGCGACUAUGGACAGAUACUUAAAUCUACAGGAUGGAUUGUGUUUUGGCUUG